UUUUUUUUUUUUUUUUUUUUUUAAUCAGGUGCUUUUUACAAAUGGAAAGAUGACUCCUAUGUAUCCCUGCAAUUUUAGAUUUUUUUUUUUUUAGACCAAAAGGCCUCAGUUCUUUCAUUUCGCUGCCAUUUAAACUUCUGACCCUUUGGCUUCCCUUUGUUAGGACCACAUCUCUCUCAAACAUGGCAUUGGAAACUGAACAUUGCAGCUGCACUCUUAGCACCUGCAGAAUGAUAGACCUCUUAUCACAUGUGUUAAGGACAGCGUUUCUUGUUUUGUGCUAAAUUCACAUUUUUUUCUACACAUCUCAUUUCCAGUAUGCUUUUAAUAAAAGUUGACUGACUAUAUGGAAGGAGGGAUUUCUUUGCUGAUUUUUGCUGCAGACAAUUGCAGAAAAAGAGUAUUUAUUCGCAUGAAGAUGUGAUCAUGUCCCCCAAGCAAAUGAGGUGAAAGAGUCAGUUUUCUUCAGCCUGUUAGAGGAACGCACAUCUGGAAGGAAUAUUUUAAUUCUCAGACAUAUGGAGUGGGGAGCUUGAGGAUACGAGCGUCACACAUCACUUCUCCCUUUAAAUUCUGUGCUCGUAUCUCUGGUGCACAGCAGGAAUUCUUGCGGAUCAUGGACAGUAACCAAGAAAGUGUUGCCAUGUUUUUACAACAUCCUGACCUCUAGGCUGUUACUUAGUUGAUUAGUUGGCAAUACAACCCUACAAGGUUGUACCAUCUUACUGAAACCCCUCUGGAUCUUAGAGGUGAACAGCAUACUUAGGAAAAGCAAUUGCAGGUGGCCAAUGGCACAGAGAAGGACUUCCAGGAGCCUCCUCCUGAUCCCAUGUAUCAAGUGUGCUCCCAUUCCAACUCCCUUGGAAAAUGCUGUAGUGAAGUGUUGUAGAGAAGCACAGGAAGAGGCAUCUGGACCCUGACUAUUGUGAAGGUUUGCUGAGACAAACACACACAUGCUUAUGGCUCACAGAAAGGGGAACAGAUGUGCAGAUUCAAGGAAUUUUAUCUGCCCACAAAUGCUGCAGUCACAGCUAAAGAAGUAAAAAUAGAUGCAGUUGUGGGAGCAGCAGCGAUGGCAAGGACUAAUGCUGAGAGGGUGCAGAGAGAGAGAGGAAAGGACAACCUAUCACAGGAGCAAGGAUAAGUGAGGAGGGCAUUAAUUAUGGACUGCCCUGAAUAGUGACAGCACCCAAACUGCCUCCCUUAACAAGUUUCCUAUUUUGUAGUUUCCCAGCAUCAGCUGCAUACCACCCUUUCCCACUACCAGUGUGCAGCACAUAUGGCUGCCUUGCAAGAAUCACACAAAUCAUCCAGUAAGUUCAUUUUUAUUAGUAGCUUCUGCUUAAUUAAGGGAUGCAUCAUGCUUCAUCAAUCAGCUUCUGUGCAUGCGAGUUGGUCUCAGCCACUCUGCUGAUGCAAACUCCAAGCAGACACAGUUCUUGUGCUGUAAGCAAGAGGCUGGUUAGCUUGAAUUUGGGCAGCCAGGGGCAGAGCUCUAUCCCUGACUGUGAAAGGGAAGUUUCAUACCACAGCUAAGGCAAUGGGAGAUCCACAGUGACUUUCUGCUGUUGUGCACCAACAGACUGAACCACAAAGCUAAUAAGAAGAAAAAUAUUAAGAGUUAAGACAGUGAAAAGAUUGAAAACUUUGGUUUGUUUACAAAUAUGAAGUAUUUUUAGCUUUCUGUAUUUUAAGGAAACCAGUUUCUGGACUCACCAGUGAUUUAUGCUGGGGCAUUUCAGCACUGUAGAAGAAAUUUCUGAAGAUGAACAAGUCAGGCAGGUGUAUCCAACAAAGCACAGUGCAGUACAGUGCCAAGCAGAGAUGGUGUGGACAGAGUAUGGCUUUGCUUCCCAGAGUGGACACAUGAACAUACACUAGAGUAUAUGUACCUAAAAGAGCUGGGUCUAAGUAGUUGAGGUUGGCAUGGGACCUCUUCCUGGAGCUACACAGUGAGAUGUGUAUGUAAUUACAGAUAAUCACAUUCUCCAGUCUCUCAGUUAAUGCUAAAAGGGCUGCCUGUUAUCACCAGGCCAUUACUGGCUUUGGAAUUAUGCUCAUAGCAACAACUCAGUGAAUUAUUUUUUAUUUGCUUAAUAACAUUAAAGGUGUAAUUGGUCAGAUUGCAGUUCAGCAUUUCCACUUCAGCCUCUCUCAUGGCCUCAGGUGCACUUACCCUGGACUCCUCCAGUGCAGGAAAGAUUAAUUCUGGUGAAUUAUACCAAACACCAUCACAGUUUUGCUGCUUGAAAAUUCAUUAAGAAGUGGAACCUACCAAAACCCAAAUCACUUACAGCCAAAAUCAAAUUUGGCUUCAGUCUUCUGAUGUGAAAGCCUGUGCAUUAACCCACCAGGUUACCUAAGCUCGAAUGCAUCCUUUCAAUAACCUGUUUAGUGAAUGUAAGUAACGCCAUAACAUACAUGUAAGAUACUUCAUCUCAAAAUACACAGGUCAUCAUUCUCCUCUGCAAUUUUCAUGGUAGCUUAUCCUUUACAUAUUUUAUUAUUAUUUUUAUGAUAGCUAUUAAAAGCCCUCAGAUGCUCUAUGGAUUGCUGGUGAAAUAGUGUAUGUACAGUAUGUAUGUUUUUUAAUAGUGCAAUUAAGGUAGAUCAGACAGUUCUACUAUAUUAUUAUAUACAUCUCUGCAAUUAGCAUAUUGUAAGUGCCUGCAAAAGGUUUAUGUGAUUUUUACACCUGUAAUGCCUCACUACACACCUCUGUAAGUAGAUUUCCCAGUGGCUAUGAAUUUUAGGCUGUUCCUAGCUGCCUGAAUAAAGCAAACCUGUGUGAAACUUACUAUUUUAUCUCAUCCUAUUCCAGGUCCUGAAGCUCAAGUGAAAGAGCUUUUAAAUCUAUAUUAAAGAAAAUAAAAGAAAAA
ensembl:lncRNA